CGGAGACAGAGCCAGCAGCCUCCAACCCCAGGGAGGCAGGAGCGCGCCCGCAACCCCGGCAGAAUUUACCAGCCACCCACUGUGUUGAGGACAAAACCAGAGGAUGUUAUGAAAGAUGGGGACCACCUGCUAAGUCCAAGGACAGACCAUAGUGAGAAGUUCAGCCCCACCCAUCCCAGGCUGCUUGGAAAGUGGAAGAUAUCGCACCAGGCCUCGUUGUCCCCCUUUUGAAGAUUCAAAGUGGAUUAGGUAAUGACUGUUAUUGGACCAACUUUUGUUGGUGAGAGAGAAAAGCUUUCAAGUUGCACAGAGUCCUUCUUCACAUCUGGGAAAGCUAUUAUUUUGCCAGAUGCAAUUGCCUAACAGAUUGAGGGCAACAGGGCAAUAAUGAACCCAGAAGAACUGGCUAACCUCUGACUAUCUGGAAAUGAAUCCGUGUUUUCUAGAGGAGCAGACUUACAUCAGUUACUAUUACACUUGGCAUCUAAAUAAAACAUGUCGUUCCCCGUCUCCUCCCAUCCCCAGGUAAUUGCCAAUAGUUUAAACCAGGUUUUUAUUCAACAGUUUUUAAGAGCUGCAAACAGACUUACUGGCAGGUUUUCAGCUCUCGUAUGGCAAUCGAAAGCAGCUGAUGCAUGUUCUAAAAUAUAGGUGGAGGCUGCCAGAGCUUAUGACUCAAUUAAUAAAACAAAUGUGCCUAUGAACUGCAUGCUGCCCUUUUGACCUUAAUCCAGUCUUGAAAUGUUACUGAAUUGACAUAGACCUAAUAUUUGCACAUGCACCAACCCCGGCCCUACCUCUUUAAGUUUUAGUGUGGUUGGCAGGAUGGAAAAUGUCAUCAGUCAAAAGGUUAGAAUUCCAUGUUCUGUUAUUGAUGUUAACUUUCAUUCAAUUCAUUGCUCCACUGCAGGGCAGAUUGCGCCUGGCCCCUGUUCAAGUUCCAAAGGGAGGUGGAAAGCAUGAGGAGUAGAGCCAUGCAAAUCCAUGGAUAUCCAUUUUCUCUCCACCUCUGUGGAUGUAGAUGUGGAUAUCUGUGAAUCAUUUUUGUGGAUACCAAUUUUGCAUCCCCACGGGGCUCUAGUAAGGAGUCUUCUCUCCUUGUGUAUCCCUGGUGUCUUUCCAAUCUCUAAAACAUAAGAACAGCCGUACUGGGUCAGACCAAAGUAUCCAGUAUCCUGUCUGCCGACAGUGGCCUCUGUCAGAUGCCCCAGAGAAACUGAACAGAACAGGUAAUCCUUGAGAGAUCCCUCUCAUGUCAGCCAUUCCCAGCCCCUGACAAACAGGCUAGGGACACCAUUCCUACCCAUUCUGGCUAAUAAGUAUCAAUGGACCUAACCUCUAUGAUUGCAUCUAGUUCUUUAAAUAUCUCCCAAAGGCAAGAUCAGCUCUCUCUUAGUGCAUAGGCCUGCCAAAGGGAACUGGGAGGGGCAGCAUCCUACACCAGCGAGCAGAGCUGGCUUGCUGGGCAGCAGAGACCAC